AUUGAACGCUGGCGGCAGGCCUAACACAUGCGAGUCGAGCGGAUGAAGGGAGCUUGCUCCUGGAUUCAGCGGCGGACGGGUGAGUAAUGCCUAGGAAUCUGCCUGGUAGUGGGGGAUAACGUCCGGAAACGGGCGCUAAUACCGCAUACGUCCUGAGGGAGAAAGUGGGGGAUCUUCGGACCUCACGCUAUCAGAUGAGCCUAGGUCGGAUUAGCUAGUUGGUGGGGUAAAGGCCUACCAAGGCGACGAUCCGUAACUGGUCUGAGAGGAUGAUCAGUCACACUGGAACUGAGACACGGUCCAGACUCCUACGGGAGGCAGCAGUGGGGAAUAUUGGACAAUGGGCGAAAGCCUGAUCCAGCCAUGCCGCGUGUGUGAAGAAGGUCUUCGGAUUGUAAAGCACUUUAAGUUGGGAGGAAGGGCAGUAAGUUAAUACCUUGCUGUUUUGACGUUACCAACAGAAAAAGCACCGGCUAACUUCGUG
rnacentral:rRNA from 1 species